UGAAAAUCCCUGCCCAGUCCUGAAAUGGAUUUAGACUAGUCAUUUAUGCUCAGCCUAAAACAAUGUUUCUCAACCUUGGUUAGUUUAAGAUAGACUGACCUAAAGACAUCAGAACAAAGUUGUCAAGAUGAAAAAAAAGAUAAUCUGAUGUAUGUUCCCUGAACGCUCUAGAGGGAAUACUAUAUGCUUAUUAACUUGAUGUUGGUUUCAUGUAAUGGAAAAAAAAAA